UACGUAGGGUGCAAGCGUUGUCCGGAAUUAUUGGGCGUAAAGAGCUCGUAGGCGGUCUGUCGCGUCUGCUGUGAAAACUCGGGGCUUAACCCCGGGCCUGCAGUGGGUACGGGCAGACUAGAGUGCGGUAGGGGAGACUGGAAUUCCUGGUGUAGCGGUGAAAUGCGCAGAUAUCAGGAGGAACGCCGGUGGCGAAGGCGGGUCUCUGGGCCGUAACUGACGCUGAGGAGCGAAAGCGUGGGGAGCGAACAGG
rnacentral:rRNA from 1 species